GACGAACGCUGGCGGCGUGCUUAACACAUGCAAGUCGAACGGAAAGGCCCUGCUCUUGUGGGGUGCUCGAGUGGCGAACGGGUGAGUAACACGUGAGUAAACCGCCCUUGACUUUGGGAUAACUUUUGGAAACUGGGGCUAAUACCGGAUAGGAGCUCCUGCAGCACGGUGUUCAUUGGAAAGUUUCGGCGGUUGGGGAUGGUCUCGCGGCUUAUCCGCUAGUUGGUGUGGUAGUGGCUUACCAAGGCUGUGACGGGUAGCCGGCCUGAGAGGGUGACCGGCCACAUUGGGACUGAGAUACGGCCCAGACUCCUACGGGAGGCAGCAGUGGGGAAUAUUGCACAAUGGGCGGAAGCGUGAUGCAGCAACGCCGCGUGCGGGAUGACGGCCUUCGGGUUGUAAACCGCUUUCGCCUGUGACGAAGCGUGAGUGACGGUAAUGGGUAAAGAAGCACCGGCUAACUACGUG
rnacentral:rRNA from 1 species